ACACGUUAUACGCCGAGCUCCCGACAGACCGGGAGACGGGGGAACCAAAGUCACCAGUCUUCGAUUGGUGAAUGGGGUGAAUCCGCUGCGCCUAGGAUCGAAGGGCCCAGUGGUAGGGUGCUCUCAGUCCGAAUCCGUCAGCUAACCUCGUAGGCGCGUUGUUGAGAGAGAAU
rnacentral:sRNA from 2 species